rnacentral:rRNA from 1 species
CCUACGGGAGGCAGCAGUGAGGAAUAUUGGUCAAUGGACGAGAGUCUGAACCAGCCAAGUAGCGUGAAUGAUGAAUGCCCUAUGGUUGGUAAACUUCUUUUAUAUGGGAAUAAAAUGUUCCACGUGUGGGAUUUUUUAUGUACCAUAUGAGUAAGGAUCGGCUAACUCCGUGCCAGCAGCCGCGGUAAUACGGAGGAUCCGAGCGUUAUCCGGAUUUGUUGGGUUUAAAGGGAGCGUAGGUGGAUUGUUAAGUCAGUUGUGAAAGUUUGCGGCUCAACCGUAAAAUUGCAGUUGAAACUGGCAGUCUUGAGUACAGUAGAGGUGGGCGGAAUUCGUGGUGUAGCGGUGAAAUGCUUAGAUAUCACGAAGAACUCCGAUUGCGAAGGCAGCUCACUGGACUGCAACUGACACUGAUGCUCGAAAGUGUGGGUAUCAAACAGGAUUAGAUACCCCGGUAGUC